rnacentral:rRNA from 1 species
GAUGAACGCUAGCGGCAGGCCUAACACAUGCAAGUCGAGGGAGAAGCCCUUUCGGGGGCAGAAACCGGCGCACGGGUGCGUAACGCGUAUGCAACCUACCUUUCACAGGGGGAUAGCCCGAAGAAAUUUGGAUUAAUACCCCAUAAUAUUAUUGGAUGGCAUCGUUUGAUAAUUAAAACUGCGGUGGUGAAAGAUGGGCAUGCGUCCUAUUAGCUAGUUGGAGUGGUAACGGCACCCCAAGGCUACGAUAGGUAGGGGUCCUGAGAGGGAGAUCCCCCACACUGGUACUGAGACAGGGACCAGACUCCUACGGGAGGCAGCAGUGAGGAAUAUUGGUCAAUGGUCGGAAGACUGAACCAGCCAUGCCGCGUGCAGGAAGAAUGCCUUAUGGGUUGUAAACUGCUUUUAUAUGGGAAGAAUAAGGCGUACGUGUACGUUGAUGACGGUACCAUAUGAAUAAGCAUCGGCUAACUCCGUG